GUAACAGCGCUCCUAUACAUGCAGUCGACGACUCUGGUAUUGAUUGGUGCUUGCAUCAUGAUUUACAUUUGAGUGAGUGGCGAACUGGUGAGUAACACGUGGGAAACCUGCCCAGAAGCGGGGGAUAACACCUGGAAACAGAUGCUAAUACCGCAUAACAACUUGGACCGCAUGGUCCGAGCUUGAAAGAUGGCUUCGGCUAUCACUUUUGGAUGGUCCCGCGGCGUAUUAGCUAGAUGGUGGGGUAACGGCUCACCAUGGCAAUGAUACGUAGCCGACCUGAGAGGGUAAUCGGCCACAUUGGGACUGAGACACGGCCCAAACUCCUACGGGAGGCAGCAGUAGGGAAUCUUCCACAAUGGACGAAAGUCUGAUGGAGCAACGCCGCGUGAGUGAAGAAGGGUUUCGGCUCGUAAAACUCUGUUGUUAAAGAAGAACAUAUCUGAGAGUAACUGUUCAGGUAUUGACGGUAUUUAACCAGAAAGCCACGGCUAACUACGUGCCAGCAGCCGCGGUAAUACGUAGGUGGCAAGCGUUGUCCGGAUUUAUUGGGCGUAAAGCGAGCGCAGGCGGUUUUUUAAGUCUGAUGUGAAAGCCUUCGGCUCAACCGAAGAAGUGCAUCGGAAACUGGGAAACUUGAGUGCAGAAGAGGACAGUGGAACUCCAUGUGUAGCGGUGAAAUGCGUAGAUAUAUGGAAGAACACCAGUGGCGAAGGCGGCUGUCUGGUCUGUAACUGACGCUGAGGCUCGAAAGUAUGGGUAGCAAACAGGAUUAGAUACCCUGGUAGUCCAUACCGUAAACGAUGAAUGCUAAGUGUUGGAGGGUUUCCGCCCUUCAGUGCUGCAGCUAACGCAUUAAGCAUUCCGCCUGGGGAGUACGGCCGCAAGGCUGAAACUCAAAGGAAUUGACGGGGGCCCGCACAAGCGGUGGAGCAUGUGGUUUAAUUCGAAGCUACGCGAAGAACCUUACCAGGUCUUGACAUACUAUGCAAAUCUAAGAGAUUAGACGUUCCCUUCGGGGACAUGGAUACAGGUGGUGCAUGGUUGUCGUCAGCUCGUGUCGUGAGAUGUUGGGUUAAGUCCCGCAACGAGCGCAACCCUUAUUAUCAGUUGCCAGCAUUAAGUUGGGCACUCUGGUGAGACUGCCGGUGACAAACCGGAGGAAGGUGGGGAUGACGUCAAAUCAUCAUGCCCCUUAUGACCUGGGCUACACACGUGCUACAAUGGAUGGUACAACGAGUUGCGAACUCGCGAGAGUAAGCUAAUCUCUUAAAGCCAUUCUCAGUUCGGAUUGUAGGCUGCAACUCGCCUACAUGAAGUCGGAAUCGCUAGUAAUCGCGGAUCAGCAUGCCGCGGUGAAUACGUUCCCGGGCCUUGUACACACCGCCCGUCACACCAUGAGAGUUUGUAACACCCAUAAGUCGGUGGGGUAAACCUCUAGGAACCAGCCGCGGAGUGAAACAGUGGGGG
rnacentral:rRNA from 2 species